GUGAAUCAUCAAAUCUUUGGACGCAAAUUGCGCUUCUUAGCAUUCCGGGAAGUAUGCCUGUUUGAUGUUCAGUAUUAACAAAAAAAUCAGUUAGGUUGCAAAUUUUUACGUUUUCGGUGCUUGUGCUAUCUUAACUUUUUUGGUUAAGGGUCUUAUAAUCGACCUUCUUUGCGCAUUUUUAGACGUACAUAAAUUUUUUUUUAUUCGUCUAUUAUUAAUGCCAAAAUCUUAUUUGAUGUG
rnacentral:misc_RNA from 1 species